GAGCGGCCGCGCCCCCCGCGCUGCCAAGCCGCGAGCCCACAUCAUGGAUGGCGAGCUCUCAGGUUUCGCCUGGCUCGCCCUGGCAUCCCAGAACCCAGACGACCAGCGGGAUUCAUGAGCCGCUCUCAGGGGCCGGGGCAGGGGCCUCUGGCUCCCAAAGCUGGCCAAGAGGUGAUGAGUGAGGCCAGAAGAACGCAAGAUUUAAAAAGCAACCGGGGCCUCCGUAUUGAAUGAAAGACCCACAGCGAAGGCAUCACCAUGAACACGAGCAUUCCUUACCAGCAGACUCCUUACAGUCCCCGGGGCAGCUCCAAUGUCAUCCAGUGCUACCGCUGUGGAGACACCUGCAAAGGAGAAGUGGUCCGCGUCCACAACAACCACUUCCACAUCAGAUGCUUCACCUGUCAAGUGUGCGGUUGCGGCCUGGCCCAGUCGGGUUUCUUCUUCAAGAACCAGGAGUACAUCUGCACCCAGGACUACCAGCAGCUCUACGGUACCCGCUGUGAUAGCUGCCGGGACUUCAUCACGGGUGAGGUCAUCUCCGCGCUGGGCCGCACCUACCACCCUAAGUGCUUCGUGUGCAGCUUGUGCAGGAAGCCUUUCCCGAUUGGAGACAAGGUGACGUUCAGUGGUAAAGAGUGUGUCUGCCAGACGUGCUCCCAGUCCAUGACCAGCAGUAAGCCCAUCAAGAUCCGCGGACCAAGCCACUGUGCUGGGUGCAAAGAGGAGAUUAAGCAUGGCCAGUCACUCCUGGCCCUGGACAAGCAGUGGCAUGUCAGCUGUUUCAAAUGCCAGACCUGUAGUGUCAUCCUCACUGGGGAGUACAUUAGCAAGGAUGGUGUUCCGUAUUGCGAGGCUGACUACCACUCCCAGUUCGGCAUUAAAUGUGAGACAUGUGACCGGUACAUCAGUGGCAGGGUCUUGGAGGCAGGAGGGAAGCACUACCACCCCACCUGUGCCAGAUGUGUGCGCUGCCACCAGAUGUUCACCGAAGGGGAGGAGAUGUAUCUCACAGGUUCUGAGGUUUGGCACCCGAUCUGCAAGCAGGCAGCCAGGGCCGAGAAGAAGCUCAAGCAUAGACGGACAUCUGAAACUUCCAUCUCACCGCCUGGGUCCAGCAUUGGGUCGCCUAACCGGGUCAUCUGCGACAUCUAUGAGAACCUGGACCUCCGGCAGAGAAGGGCCUCCAGCCCAGGAUACAUCGAUUCCCCCACCUACAGUCGGCAAGGCAUGUCUCCCACCUUCUCCCGCUCACCUCAUCACUAUUACCGUUCAGGGCCUGAGAGUGGCCGGAGCUCUCCAUACCAUAGCCAGUUAGAUGUGAGGUCCUCCACUCCAACCUCUUACCAGGCUCCCAAGCACUUUCACAUCCCAGCUGGAGAAAGUAACAUCUACCGAAAACCCCCGAUCUACAAACGGCAUGGUGAUUUGUCCACAGCAACCAAGAGUAAGACAAGUGAAGACAUCAGCCAGGCGUCCAAGUAUAGUCCAGCCUAUUCACCAGACCCCUACUAUGCUUCAGAGUCCGAGUACUGGACCUACCAUGGGUCCCCAAAAGUGCCCCGAGCCAGAAGGUUCUCGUCAGGAGAGGAGGAGGAUUUUGAUCGCAGCAUGCACAAGCUCCAGAGUGGGAUUGGCCGGCUGAUUCUGAAGGAAGAGAUGAAGGCGCGGUCAAGUUCCUAUGCGGAUCCUUGGACCCCUCCACGGAGCUCCACCAGCAGCCGGGAGGCCCUGCACACCGCGGGCUAUGACAUGUCCCUCAAUGGCUCUCCUCGUUCACACUACCUGGCUGACAGCGAUCCCCUCAUCUCCAAAUCUGCCUCACUGCCUGCCUACCGGAGAAAUGGGCUGCACAGGACACCCAGCGCCGACCUCUUCCACUACGACAGCAUGAACGCGGUCAACUGGGGCAUGCGAGAAUACAAGGUAAAGAACACAUAGACCCUGGGGUCUCCAGGAUUCUGGGAACCACUACCUUGGGGAGCAGCAAGAGGAUGGCAGCACCAUCUAUGCAGGGAAGAAGCAUAGAUGAAAAACCUUUCAGGACUAACAUUGUCUCCCCUCGGCCCAUUGUCCCUGAUUCUCCCUUAAGUCUUCUCUAACCCUUUUCCUGUCCCUAAAGACUCUAGGACACCAGAGGGCCCAACUGGACGGCUUAACAGCCACCAACUAUUAGACACAUUCAGAAGGCCUUGGGCCUACAUUAAUGUGAAGUGCCACCACCAAGCUUAUCUUUAGCAACGUUAGGACACUCUGGGGACCAUGCCAAUCCAAGGAGGGCAGACCCAGCCCUUCCUCCUGACUAAAUGUCUGGCCUUAGUGGAUAGAAAAAGGAGCCCAGACUCAAACUGAAGCUGGAAGAGACAAACUUACCCCCCACACCCAAGCGAGACAUGCCCGCCUUUCUCCUUAGAUCUACCCGUAUGAGCUGCUGCUGGUGACAACAAGAGGAAGGGACCGGCUGCCAAAGGAUGUGGACCGGACACGCUUAGAGCGCCACCUGUCCCAGGAGGAGUUCUAUCAAGUCUUUGGCAUGACCAUCUCCGAGUUCGAGAGACUUGCCCUCUGGAAGAGGAACGAACUGAAGAAGCAAGCCCGGCUGUUCUAGGCGUAGGCUCUAUACAUAUAGAUGCAUUUAUAUAAAGAUGUAUGUAAA